rnacentral:sRNA from 1 species
CAUUAGCCCUGAUGGAAGUGGAAAUCUUGUCAUUGGGAGGAACGAAGAAAUGACAAAUUGAAGCGAACAGCAGGAAUUAUG